rnacentral:lncRNA from 1 species
AGGACUAAGAGCAAGGAUACCGCUAUAGACACCAUCAUAUGGUGGAUCAAGUCCUCCAAGAAAAUCAUAAACUCGAUCGGCUUCAAGUUCUUUCAGACGACAAGCCCCAUCAUCGGCACAACUAUAUUCAUGUGGACGCAAACAAUCAAUCUCAUACCAUAUAGCAUGGAGUUUUUCAUAGAACAUUUUGACAUAUUCACCAUUCUAUCACGUCAUGAUGGACUGCCGUC